AUCAGAAGAGCGGCGGGGACCCGGAGCGGGCCCCCCGCCUAUUUCACAGAUGCGAAGACUGAGGUUUGGAGGGGGACCCGUGGAAAUGAGCAGCAUCUGGCACAGGCUCUCUCCCGAAUUUCUCUCCACCCCCACCCGCGGCAGGACCCCCCCCCUCCCCGCCGGAGACUCCCCGAAAUGCCAGGUCCCCCCGGCGGGGUCACAGCCGAGAUCGCGCAAACGCUGCCGGGCAGCUGGGGGAGUCCCCCGGGCCAGCACACGUCCUUUCCCGAAGGUGACUCUGGGUGCUGUGGCAAUACUGAGCACGUGGACAGAAAUGGGGGCGUUUCCUCCCGGCCCGUGGCCGACCUCUGUGCAGACCUCCACCUUCGGCUUCCCGGCCUCGCCCACAAUGAACCCUGCCGUCAUGAGAGUCGGCUCUUUGACAUCUGUUACAAAAUGCAAACCCCGGCGGCCCGAGUCCCCAGUCUGUGGCGACCUCUGA
rnacentral:lncRNA from 1 species